AUUGAACGCUGGCGGCAGGCCUAACACAUGCAAGUCGAACGGUAACAGGAAGCAGCUUGCUGCUUUGCUGACGAGUGGCGGACGGGUGAGUAAUGUCUGGGAAACUGCCUGAUGGAGGGGGAUAACUACUGGAAACGGUAGCUAAUACCGCAUGACGUCGCAAGACCAAAGAGGGGGACCUUCGGGCCUCUUGCCAUCGGAUGUGCCCAGAUGGGAUUAGCUAGUAGGUGGGGUAAAGGCUCACCUAGGCGACGAUCCCUAGCUGGUCUGAGAGGAUGACCAGCCACACUGGAACUGAGACACGGUCCAGACUCCUACGGGAGGCAGCAGUGGGGAAUAUUGCACAAUGGGCGCAAGCCUGAUGCAGCCAUGCCGCGUGUAUGAAGAAGGCCUUCGGGUUGUAAAGUACUUUCAGCGGGGAGGAAGGGAGUAAAGUUAAUACCUUUGCUCAUUGACGUUACCCGCAGAAGAAGCACCGGCUAACUCCGUG
rnacentral:rRNA from 1 species